rnacentral:rRNA from 1 species
AGAGUUUGAUCUGGUCAGAACGAACGCUGGCGGCGUGCUUAAUACAUGCAAGUCGUGCGAGAAAGUGGUAGCAAUACCAUGAGUAGAGCGGCAAACGGGUGAGUAACACGUAAGUAACCUUCCUCCAAUUCUGGAAUAACCUUGCCAACGCGAGGCUAAUACCGGAUGUGGCCACGAGCCCGCAUGGGUUUGUGAUUAAAGAUGACCUCUAUUUAUAAGUUAUCGUUUGGAGAUGGACUUGCGCCUCAUUAGCUAGAUGGUAGGGUAACGGCCUACCAAGGCUUUGAUGGGUAGCCGGCCUGAGAGGGUGUACGGCCACAUUGGGACUGAGAUACGGCCCAGACUCCUACGGGAGGCAGCAGUAGGGAAUUUUGCGCAAUGGACGAAAGUCUGACGCAGCAACGCCGCGUGAGUGAUGAAGGUCUUCGGAUUGUAAAGCUCUGUUGAGUGGGAAGGAAAGUUCCGGGAAUAAUACCUCGGGAUCUGACGGUACCACUUGAGGAAGCCCCGGCUAACUACGUGCCAGCAGCCGCGGUAAUACGUAGGGGGCAAGCGUUGUUCGGAAUCACUGGGCGUAAAGGGAGCGUAGGCGGAAGGAUAAGUUAGAAGUUUAAUGUACGGGCUUAACCCGUAAUCUGCUUCUAAUACUGUUUUUCUUGAGUAUGGGAGAGGGAGAUGGAAUUCCAGGUGUAGCGGUGGAAUGCGUAGAUAUCUGGAAGAACACCAGCUGCGAAGGCGGUCUCCUGGCCCAAUACUGA